rnacentral:rRNA from 1 species
GAUGAACGCUGGCGGCGUGCUUAACACAUGCAAGUCGAACGAAGCACUUUAUUUGAUUUCCUUCGGGACUGAUUAUUUUGUGACUGAGUGGCGGACGGGUGAGUAACGCGUGGGUAACCUGCCUUGUACAGGGGGAUAACAGUUGGAAACGGCUGCUAAUACCGCAUAAGCGCACAGCAUCGCAUGAUGCAGUGUGAAAAACUCCGGUGGUAUAAGAUGGACCCGCGUUGGAUUAGCUAGUUGGUGAGGUAACGGCCCACCAAGGCGACGAUCCAUAGCCGACCUGAGAGGGUGACCGGCCACAUUGGGACUGAGACACGGCCCAAACUCCUACGGGAAGCAGCAGUGGGGAAUAUUGCACAAUGGGCGAAAGCCUGAUGCAGCGACGCCGCGUGAGCGAAGAAGUAUUUCGGUAUGUAAAGCUCUAUCAGCAGGGAAGAUAAUGACGGUACCUGACGAAGAAGCACCGGCUAAAUACGUG